GAUGAACGCUGGCGGCGUGCCUAAUACAUGCAAGUCGAGCGAACAGACGAGGAGCUUGCUCCUCUGACGUUAGCGGCGGACGGGUGAGUAACACGUGGAUAACCUACCUAUAAGACUGUGAUAACUUCGGGAAACCGGAGCUAAUACCGGAUAAUAUAUUGAACCGCAUGGUUCAAUAGUGAAAGACGGUUUUGCUGUCACUUAUAGAUGGAUCCGCGCCGCAUUAGCUAGUUGGUAAGGUAACGGCUUACCAAGGCAACGAUGCGUAGCCGACCUGAGAGGGAGAUCGGCCACACUGGAACUGAGAAACGGUCCAGACUCCGACGGGAGGCAGCAGUAGGGAAUCUUCCGCAAUGGGCGAAAGCCUGACGGAGCAAAGCCGCGUGAGGGAUGAAGGUCUUCGGAUCGUAAAACUCUGUUAUUAGGGAAGAACAAAUGUGUAAGUAACUAUGCACGUCUUGACGGUACCGAAUCAGAAAGCCACGGCUAACUACGUG
rnacentral:rRNA from 1 species